rnacentral:rRNA from 1 species
AUUGAACGCUGGCGGCAUGCCUUACACAUGCAAGUCGAACGGCAGCACGGGGGCAACCCUGGUGGCGAGUGGCGAACGGGUGAGUAAUGCAUCGGAACGUGCCCAGUAGUGGGGGAGUAACUAGUCGAAAGAUUAGCUAAUACCGCAUACGACCUAUGGGUGAAAGCGGGGGAUUUUCGGCAACCGAGAACCUCGCGCUAUCGGAGCGGCCGAUGUCUGAUUAGCUAGNGGCGGGGUAAAGCCCACCAAGGCUUCGAUCAGUAGCUGGUCUGAGAGGACGACCAGCCACACUGGGACUGAGACACGGCCCAGACUCCUACGGGAGGCAGCAGUGGGGAAUUUUGGACAAUGGGCGCAAGCCUGAUCCAGCCAUGCCGCGUGCGGGAAGAAGGCCUUUGGGUUGUAAACCCGCUUUUGGCAGGGAACGAAACGGCGCGAGCAAAUAUCUCGCGUUAAUGACGGUACCUGCAGAAUAAGCACCGGCUAACUACGUGCCAGC